UGGGGAAUAUUGCACAAUGGGCGCAAGCCUGAUGCAGCCAUGCCGCGUGUAUGAAGAAGGCCUUCGGGUUGUAAAGUACUUUCAGCGAGGAGGAAGGUGCUGUGGUUAAUAACCGCAGCAAUUGACGUUACUCGCAGAAGAAGCACCGGCUAACUCCGUGCCAGCAGCCGCGGUAAUACGGAGGGUGCAAGCGUUAAUCGGGAAUUACUGGGCGUAAAGCGCACGCAGGCGGUCUGUCAAGUCGGAUGUGAAAUCCCCGGGCUCAACCUGGGAACUGCAUCCGAAACUGGCAGGCUAGAGUCUUGUAGAGGGGGGUAGAAUUCCAGGUGUAGCGGUGAAAUGCGUAGAGAUCUGGAGGAAUACCGGUGGCGAAGGCGGCCCCCUGGACAAAGACUGACGCUCAGGUGCGAAAGCGUGGGGGAGCAAACA
rnacentral:rRNA from 1 species